AACACAUCGGAAUUGCAUUCCACAUGAAAACAUUACUAAGUGGCAUGCUCCGAAAGAUAUGUUGGCGUUUGCAUGUGCAAAUGGUGUAAUGGCAAGGCAAGGCACAGGUGCGAUCACUGUCCCAA
rnacentral:lncRNA from 1 species